rnacentral:rRNA from 1 species
AUUGAACGCUGGCGGCAUGCUUUACACAUGCAAGUCGAACGGCAGCGCGGGCUUCGGCCUGGCGGCGAGUGGCGAACGGGUGAGUAAUGCAUCGGAACGUGCCCAGUAGUGGGGGAUAGCCCGGCGAAAGCCGGAUUAAUACCGCAUACGACCUGCGGGUGAAAGCGGGGGACCGAAAGGCCUCGCGCUAUUGGAGCGGCCGAUGUCGGAUUAGCUAGUUGGUGGGGUAAAGGCUUACCAAGGCGACGAUCCGUAGCUGGUCUGAGAGGACGACCAGCCACACGGGGACUGAGACACGGCCCAGACUCCUACGGGAGGCAGCAGUGGGGAAUGUUGGACAACGGGGGCAACCCUGAUCCAGCCAUGCCGCGUGCGGGAAGAAGGCCUUCGGGUUGUAAACCGCUUUUGUGCGGGAAGAAAUCCUCUGGGCUAAUACCACGGGGGGAUGACGGUACCGGAAGAAUAAGCACCGGCUAACUACGUG